rnacentral:pre_miRNA from 1 species
GGGUAGCUGAGGGGAUGGUAGACCGGUGACGUGCACUUCAUUUACGAUGUAGGUCACCCGUUUCACUAUCCGUCGGCACCC